UUCGAAGGGGGCUAGCGUUGUUCGGAAUUACUGGGCGUAAAGCGCGCGCAGGCGGCCUUUCAAGUCAGGGGUGAAAGCCCGGAGCUCAACUCCGGAAUUGCCUUUGAAACUGUCAGGCUCGAGUACGGGAGAGGUGAGUGGAAUUCCCAGUGUAGAGGUGAAAUUCGUAGAUAUUGGGAAGAACACCAAUGGCGAAGGCAGCUCGCUGGGACGGUACUGACGCUGAGACGCGAAAGCGUGGGGAGCAAACAGG
rnacentral:rRNA from 1 species